AGGAAAGAAUUUCUGUAAUACCCCUCCAUGUCGUCUCCCCUGUUACUAACUUAGUUACAAUUAAUGAACCAACACGGAGACAUUAUGUUACGUCCAUAGUUUAUCCAGAUUUCCUUAUUAUUAUUAUUAUUAUUUUUUACCUGAUGUCUUUUUUCUAUUUCAGGAUCCCACCCGGAUUAGCACAUCCCAUUCACCUGACAUGUCUCCUCAGGCUUUUUUUUUGUUUGUUUGGUUUGGUUUGGUUUUGGCCAUGACAGUUCCUCAGCCUUUCCUUAUUUUUGAGGAACUUGACGGUUUUGAUGAAUACUGGUCAAGUAUUUUGUAAAAGGCCCCUCUCCUGGCAUUUGUCUCACGUUUGUCCCAUGACUAACAUGGAGUGACAGCUUUUUGGGAAACAGAUGACCAGAGGUAAAAUGACAGAAAGUGGUCUUUUCACCACACCCUAACAAGGGUAUGUCCUUUCCUGCUGAACUAUCCCUGUUGAUAGUGACUGUAAUCCCCUAGCUGGGGUUUGUGUACCAGUUCCUCCUCUAUGAAGUCACCCUUCCCCUGGCUGGCCAUACUGUACUCCUUGGAAGGAGGUCACCAUGUGCAGCCCACACUUCAGGUGUGCGCCUCCUUCCUGAGGAUGGAACACCUACGUACAUUAUUUUGAAAUUCUUCCGCCCAGCUUUAUCUUUGCUUUUGCACUUAUUUAUUUACUCAUUUGUUUGCAUUAGCAUGGACCAAAGGAUAUUUACUACGCACUUUGGGUUAUCAUCCAAUAGCACUUUGUUUCAUUUGGUGCUCAAAUCGUUGUUGUUUGUUUUUUCAGUAGGACUGAAAUGUCCUUUUGGCAAAACCCCAUCAAGCUUCAACGAAACCGCUCUCUGUAAGUGUCAGUGCUCAGAAGGCCCAGGAGAGACAACACGGUGGAUCAUCAGGAUGGAAAUGUCAAAGGCCCCAGAGUCUUGCUGUUGGCUGUAGAAACAUUCCCAGGACCCCAGGACCCCAGGACCCCCACAGUACUGCUUACCUCUAAGAAGACCUGGGAAACUCCUAAGACACAGAAUCAUCCAAGAAAAGGAAAAAGGAGAAAAUCAAAGGGGGCUGGAUAACAUACAAGAUGAGACACCUCCCAUCAGAAAAUAAAUAUAUCUCAUGCACUGAUGGAAAUUUAAAAAAAAAAAAAAAGUGUGAUCCAAGAGAAAACUUUUCCUAUCAGAGUCUAGAAAAAAAUAGCCAUGCAAAUAAAGGCCCAUUAUUUCCCCUCUGCACGAAAUAGCUGGCUUGGAGUUUUAACAUGGGAGGAAAAGCCAGAUGGCGGCAGACGGCCUUAUUAUAGAAAGUCCACUUGUACUGAAGUUUCCUCAACGCGUUUCAUCACUGCUGAGUGAGGUUUUGUUUUGUUUCCUUCUUAAGUGCAGGGCAGGCUAGUACCAGAAUUUGUAUAAAGUCUGCAACCUUUUCAUGAAAAUGUUCUACCCAAUACAUCCGAUACAUGAUAUAUGAUGCCACCACAGGAAAACUAGUGUUGCUACAGACGUUAAUCAUAAUUAUGAAAAUUUUUAAUUUAAAUGUAGGUCUGAACACACAAAAUACAGUGCAUGGCCAUCUGUUAGUUUUCCAUCUGGGCUCAUUUGCAAAAUACAUUCUGUUUCGC